rnacentral:ncRNA from 1 species
AAAGUUUAUUAGCAAAUCUUUACAUAUUCAUUGUGUAAUAUUUUCCAAAAGAAUGCAGUUAAGUAAUUUUAGAAUUGUAGAUUUAGUCUUUAAAAAAGGCGGUAUAUUUCAUUUUCUAUCUAUUACGUAAAAUCUCUACUUAUAAACACAAACGUACACAUUUGUACCUACACGUGCGUGCACAUGCUCUUCUCGAGAGUCGGGCUGCUUGGGAACGCAGCCCAAAGCGGGUGGUAAGCUCCAUCCAAGCCUAAAUACGAGUCCGAUAGCCGACAAGCCGAGGGUUC